AGUACAGCUGGGGAGGGAAGGGAACGGUGAAAAGAGAGAAUCAGAAGUGUCCGCGGGGUUGUAAUCCCAGCACAUUGGGAGGCCAAGGGUCAAAAAGAGCUAAGGGAUUUUUUUAAGGACAGAAAAUGGAAGACAGCCUUCAGCAGGAUGAAAAGGACUAUGGAGUCAGGCCGCCUAGAUGGAGUCUCGCUCUGUCACCCAGGCUGGAGUGCAGUGGCACGAUCUCGGCUCACCAUAACCUCUGCCUCUCAGGUUCGAGUGAUUCUACCGCCUCAGCCUCCCGAGUACUGGGACUAUACAG